CAUAAAAAAGACAAGCUACAGACAAGACAAGGCCACAGGUGGAGGCCAGAGCUGCAACAGCAUCAUCGAGUGUUGGGAGGACUGAAAGUUGAAUAUAAUGGAUGUGGGCUUUGCUGGCGGGGCCAGCAUUUAUUGCCCAAGCCUAGUUGCC